UUUUAACUGGUACCAUAGUCUGCAGGAGGA
rnacentral:piRNA from 1 species